rnacentral:rRNA from 1 species
CCUACGGGAGGCAGCAGUAGGGAAUAUUGCUCAAUGGGGGAAACCCUGAAGCAGCAACGCCGCGUGGAGGAUGACGGUUUUCGGAUUGUAAACUCCUUUUGUUAGAGAAGAUAAUGACGGUAUCUAAAGAAUACGAAACGGAUAACUUAGUGACAGCAGCCGCGGUAAUCAGGAGGGUGCAAGCGUUACUCGGAAUAACUGGGCGUAAGGCUCGCGUAGGCGGGAUAGCAAGUCAGAUGUGAAAUCCUAUGGCUUAACCAUAGAACUGCAUUUGAUACUGUUAUUCUAGAGUAUGGUAGAGGUAGGUGGAAUUCGUGGUGUAGGGGUAAAAUCCGUAGAUAUCAAGAGGAAUACUCAUUGCGAAGGCGACCUGCUAGAACAUAACUGACGCUGAUGCUCGAAAGCGUGGGGAGCAAACAGGAUUAGAUACCCGUGUAGUC